rnacentral:tRNA from 1 species
GGCUCCAUAGUAUAACAGUUAGCACGUCUGCUUUACACGCAGAAGGUUCUGGGUUCGCGCCCCAGUGGAACUA